GAUAUUUUUGUGGUCAAUAAAGCUCUAUAUAUAUCCAAUAUGAGCAGAUAUUCUUCACCCAUUUUAACAAUUAAAAGUAAAAUUUAACUCCAGCUCUCUCUCUCUCUCUCUUCUCGCAAGGAUUAAACCAGCAACCUUAAAAUUUUCUAUGGUUCUUGAAGAAACCCUCAUAUCUGCAAACCAAAUGUGAAGUGAGGCUAAAGUUCUAAAAGAAUUCAAGUUAUAACGAGAAGAUGCAGAAAUUGAGGCAAGAUUAAAACCAAAAAGGGGAGGCUGAUCGUGAUAGUAUAUCAGUCCGAGGAUAAGGUAUGUAAGGCUAUUCGAUUCUAUAUCCCUUUGUCAUGAAAUUUGACACCUGCAAUUAAUAUCAAUGAAGUGAAUCUCAUAAGUUCUAUUCCUAGAAACGGAAACAUAGUGGCAGCAUACUAUCCCAAAUAGCUAACAAUAUUUCCCCAUCACCGUAGUGCAUAAAACUACUUCAUUAUCUGUUCAAUAUUUUAUACUUGUGUAAUUAUCCCCCAUGUGCUGGUAUAGAAAUGGUAAUUGGAAAAUCUAGUGUGUGAAUCCUCCUCUUUGUUGUAAUUGUGUCAUUAAUCCCUUUAAGUAAUGCCUUGAUGUUACAUAGUUUCUUAUGUCAUUGUUAUUUCCAUGAAAUAUUAUUUUCAUGUCUUCUAUUACUAGUCAAUACUUCCAUAUCUCCAAAAUGAUUAUGACCACCAAAAUAACA